CCUACGGGUGGCUGCAGUAGGGAAUAUUGCUCAAUGGGGGAAACCCUGAAGCAGCAACGCCGCGUGAAGGAUGAAGGCUUUAGGAUUGUAAACCCCUUUUUUGAGAGAAGAUAAUGACGGUACCUCAGGAAUAAGCACCGGCUAACUCCGUGCCAGCAGCCGCGGUAAUACGGAGGGGGCAAGCGUUACCCGGAAUCACUGGGCGUAAAGGGUGCGUAGGCGGGUUUGUAAGUCAGAUGUGAAAUGCUGAGGCUUAACUACAGAACUGCAUUUGAAACUGGGAGUCUAGAGUUCAGGAGAGGUAGGUGGAAUUCCUGGUGUAGCGGUGAAAUGCGUAGAUAUCAAGAGGAAUACUCAUUGCGAAGGCGGCCUACUGGAAUGUUACUGACACUGAUGCACGAAAGCGUGGGGAGCAAACAGGAUUAGAUACCCCGGUAGUC
rnacentral:rRNA from 1 species